rnacentral:rRNA from 1 species
AGCAGCCGCGGUAAUUCCAGCUCCAAUAGCGUAUAUUAAAGUUGUUGCAGUUAAAAAGCUCGUAGUUGAAUUUCGGAAUCUGUCCAUCGGUCGGGCUUUAUCGUCCGUACUGGUGUGGUGGGUUCUUACCUUCUGAAUAACCAGCAUGCCAUUUAUUUGGUGCGUUGGGGAAGCAGGACUAUUACCUUGAAAAAAUUAGAGUGCUCAAAGCAGGCUAGUGCCUGAAUACAUUAGCAUGGAAUAAUAAAAUAGGACGGCAUGGUUCUAUUUUGUUGGUUUCUAGGAUCACCGUAAUGAUUAAUAGGGAUAGUUGGGGGCAUUAGUAUUCAAUUGUCAGAGGUGAAAUUCUUGGAUUUAUUGAAGACUAACUUCUGCGAAAGCAUUUGCCAAGGAUGUUUUCAUUAAUCAAGAACGAAAGUUAGGGGAUCGAAGACGAUCAGAUACCGUCGU